rnacentral:rRNA from 1 species
UACGUAGGGUGCAAGCGUUGUCCGGAAUCAUUGGGCGUAAAGCGCGCGUAGGUGGCUUCGUAAGUCCGUUGUGAAAGUCAAAGGCUCAACCUUUGAAUGCCGAUGGAUACUGCGAAGCUAGAGUACGGAAGAGGCGAGUGAAAUUCCUGGUGUAGCGGUGGAAUGCGCAGAUAUCAGGAGGAACACCAAUAGCGAAGGCAGCUCGCUGGGACGUUACUGACACUAAGGCGCGAAAGCGUGGGGAGCGAACAGG